AAAAUUGUGAGAUAAAAUACACUGCUACCUUUUUUUAAUUCCAUGGCAGUCACAAGCUACCAUAACAAUCAGAUUCGAACCUGUAAAAACCCCUCAGAAAUAAAGAGAACAAACCAAAUAACAUAACAAAAAAUAUUUUUACUAAAACUGAACAUUUACAGAUUUAAUUUUCCCAGACAAGUCAUACAGAUUCCACUCCAGCCGAAACACAAACCUUUACACGCACACUCACACAAGUUUCGUUUGGAAUACAACAACGUCAGAGCAGGUUCUGUCAGAUAGGCAAUGAUAUAGACGGGUUCACCACAUGCAUUUAAUGAACUGAAGAGUUUCACAGGAAGGAAAAGGAAAAUAAUUCACAUCAUUUUGUCCCUGACCGAGAAGCAGCAUAUAUGCAUCCCACGUUUAACGGGCCCUCCCUCUACACCCCCUAACAUAAAAAUGAACUAACAAAAAUGAACCAUCCACCUGGAGCCUACAAUCAGUUUGCAGUGAAAUCCACUGCGCUAAUGACUGUAAUAGAGACUGUACUACACAUUCUGACAGGGUCCUGUGUAGUGACCACGCAAGGGAUGCUGGGAAACCCCAGGCCAUUUCCUGGCCGAACCCAGAAGCAGAGAGAUCAUAUAGUGGAGCGAACAUUAGCUCUGACCAGGAACACACCGACACUCACCCAAAGGGCUGCAGUAGUUGCUUUUGAAUCGUAUUUUUUUUUUUCCGCUUGCUGUUUUAAUUUGUCUGAGAAAGUGUCCUUUAAAUGCAAAAGAAGACCGGAGGAGACUGUUCCACUUCUCUCAUUUGAUGCCACCGUUUCCUUCUUCUAAACUUCAAUGUUGUUGCCGGCAUAAAGCCUGGUCCAUGUUCGGGCUGU